AACGAACGCUGGCGGCAGGCUUAACACAUGCAAGUCGAGCGCGUAGCAAUACGAGCGGCAGACGGGUGAGUAACGCGUGGGAAUCUACCGUACCCUAUGGAAUAGCUCCGGGAAACUGGAAGUAAUACCAUAUACGCCCGAAAGGGGAAAGAUUUAUCGGGGUAUGAUGAGCCCGCGUUGGAUUAGCUAGUUGGUGGGGUAAAGGCCUACCAAGGCGACGAUCCAUAGCUGGUCUGAGAGGAUGAUCAGCCACAUUGGGACUGAGACACGGCCCAAACUCCUACGGGAGGCAGCAGUGGGGAAUAUUGGACAAUGGGCGCAAGCCUGAUCCAGCCAUGCCGCGUGAGUGAUGAAGGUCCUAGGAUUGUAAAGCUCUUUCACCGAUGAAGAUAAUGACGGUAGUCGGAGAAGAAGCCCCGGCAAACUUCGUGCCAGCAGCCGCGGUAACAC
rnacentral:rRNA from 1 species